rnacentral:rRNA from 1 species
CCUACGGGUGGCUGCAGUGGGGAAUAUUGGACAAUGGGCGAAAGCCUGAUCCAGCCAUGCCGCGUGUGUGAAGAAGGCCUUCGGGUUGUAAAGCACUUUCAGUGGGGAAGAAAGCCUUGGGGCUAAUACCCUCGAGGAAGGACAUCACCCACAGAAGAAGCACCGGCUAACUCCGUGCCAGCAGCCGCGGUAAUACGGAGGGUGCGAGCGUUAAUCGGAAUUACUGGGCGUAAAGCGCGCGUAGGCGGUCUGAUAAGCCGGUUGUGAAAGCCCCGGGCUCAACCUGGGAACGGCAUCCGGAACUGUCAGGCUAGAGUGCAGGAGAGGAAGGUAGAAUUCCCGGUGUAGCGGUGAAAUGCGUAGAGAUCGGGAGGAAUACCAGUGGCGAAGGCGGCCCUCUGGACUGACACUGACGCUGAGGUGCGAAAGCGUGGGUAGCAAACAGGAUUAGAUACCCCAGUAGUC